GCGGGGUAGCUCAGCGGUAGAGCAGGAGAAUCAUAAUCUCUUGGUCGGGGGUUCAAAUCCCUCUCCCGCC
rnacentral:tRNA from 1 species